UAUUAUGGAGAGUUUGAUCCUGGCUCAGGACGAACGCUGGCGGCAUGCCUAAUACAUGCAAGUCGAGCGAACUGUUGGAAGCUUGCUUCCUUCAGUUAGCGGCGGACGGGUGAGUAACACGUGGG
rnacentral:rRNA from 1 species